UGAAUCGAUCGGCUUUGCUGAGG
rnacentral:miRNA from 1 species